rnacentral:lncRNA from 1 species
AUGAGGAUCAACAGCAAUCACAAAUGUUGUGUAUCUCCAAACUGUGAACUUGAAAUAGAAUCUGAAGGACUGGUUUUCUCUGGGUUGGUUCAUAAGUGGGGAGCUGGAGCGUGCCCCUCUGGGGCAUGGGUGGGAUGGGAUCAGUGGGAUCAGUGGAAUGUGAUCAGUGGGGUGGGAUCAGUGGGGCAGGAUCAGUGGGAUGGGAUUUCUGGAGGAUGGGAUCAGUGGGGUGGAAUCAGUAGGGUGGAAUCAGUGGGGCAGGAUCAGUGGGAUGGGAUCUCUGGGGUGGGAUCAGUGGGGUGGGAUCAGUGGGAUGGGAUCUUGGGGGUGGGAUCAGUGGGGUGGGAUCUCUGGGGGAUGGGAUCAGUGGGGCAGGAUCAGUGGGAUGGGAUCUCCGAGAUGGGAUCAGUGGGGCGGGAUCAGUGGGAUGGGAUCUCGGGGAUGGGAUUGGUGGCGUGGGAUCAAUGGGAUGGGAUCAGUGGGGUGAGAUCUCGGGGGUGGGAUCAGUGGGAUGGGAUCAGUGGGGUGGGAUCAGUGGGGUGGGAUCUCUGGGAUGGGAUCAGUGGGGUGGGAUCAGUGGGAUGGGAUCUCGGGGGUGGGAUCAGUGGGAUGGGAUCAGNNNNNNNNNNAUCAGUGGGAUGGGAUCUCGGGGGUGGGAUCAGUGGGAUGGGAUCAGGGGUGGGAUCAGUGGGAUGGGAUCAGUGGGAUGGGAUCUCAGGGGUAGGAUCAGUGGGAUGGGACCAGUGGGGUGGGAUCUCUGGGAUGGGAUCAGUGGGAUGGGAUCUCUGGGAUGGGAUCUCGGGGAUGGGACCAGUGGGAUGGGCUGCCGGCGGGAUGGGCGCAGCUGCGUGUCAGGCUGGUGGCUGGGGACGAGCACUGGGGACAAGCGGUACUGCACGCUGGAAAACGCUGGAAUCCCGUUGUUUUCCCGUGUUCAACUCUUAUCAGUGGAUCUGGUGGGAGCUGCUCUCCCCGCAGCUGUCAAAGGGCCAGGGAGCAGUUUCCUGGCUUUAUAGCAGUAGAGGAAGCCCUGUAAAAGUCGCCACAGGAACAGCCCCACUCCCAGCUGGUGCAAACCUCCCACCAGGAGGGAAGGAGCAGGUCCUUUCCAUGCUGGGACACAGCCUUCCAGGUGAGCUCUGA